rnacentral:rRNA from 1 species
AUUGAACGCUGGCGGCAGGCCUAACACAUGCAAGUCGAACGGUAACAGGAAACAGCUUGCUGUUUCGCUGACGAGUGGCGGACGGGUGAGUAAUGUCUGGGAAACUGCCUGAUGGAGGGGGAUAACUACUGGAAACGGUAGCUAAUACCGCAUAACGUCGCAAGACCAAAGAGGGGGACCCUCGGGCCUCCUGCCAUCGGAUGUGCCCAGAUGGGAUUAGCUUGUUGGUGGGGUAACGGCUCACCAAGGCGACGAUCCCUAGCUGGUCUGAGAGGAUGACCAGCCACACUGGAACUGAGACACGGUCCAGACUCCUACGGGAGGCAGCAGUGGGAAUAUUGCACAAUGGGCGCAAGCCUGAUGCAGCCAUGCCGCGUGUAUGAAGAAGGCC